UACGUAGGGUGCAAGCGUUAAUCGGAAUUACUGGGCGUAAAGCGUGCGCAGGCGGUUGUGCAAGACAGAUGUGAAAUCCCCGGGCUCCAACCUGGGAACUGCAUUUGUGACUGCACGGCUGGAGUGCGGCAGAGGGGGAUGGAAUUCCGCGUGUAGCAGUGAAAUGCGUAGAUAUGCGGAGGAACACCGAUGGCGAAGGCAAUCCCCUGGGCCUGCACUGACGCUCAUGCACGAAAGCGUGGGGAGCAAACAGG
rnacentral:rRNA from 1 species